AGUGAACGCUGGCGGUAGGUCUAACACAUGCAAGUCGAACGGAAGCACAGUAAGAGCUUGCUCUUACGGGUGGCGAGUGGCGGACGGGUGAGGAAUACAUAGGAAUCUACUUUUUCGUGGGGGAUAACGGAGGGAAACUGACGCUAAUACCGCAUACGACCUACGGGUGAAAGCAGGGGAUCUUCGGAGCUUUCGCGAUUGAAUGAGCCGAUGUCGGAUUAGCUAGUUGGCGGGGUAAAGGCCCACCAAGGCGACGAUCCGUAGCUGGUCUGAGAGGAUGAUCAGCCACACUGGAACUGAGACACGGUCCAGACUCCUACGGGAGGCAGCAGUGGGGAAUAUUGGACAAAGGGCGCAAGCCUGAUCCAGCCAUACCGCGUGGGUGAAGAAGGCCUUCGGGUUGUAAAGCCCUUUUGUUGGGAAAGAAAAGCAGCAGGUUAAUACCCCGCUGUUCUGACGGUACCCAAAGAAUAAGCACCGGCUAACUUCGUG
rnacentral:rRNA from 1 species